rnacentral:rRNA from 1 species
ACCUCGCGGGUGCAUUAGCUAGUUGGUAGGGGUAAACGGGCCUACCAAGGCGAUGAUGCAUAGCCGAGUUGAGAGACUGAUCGGCCACAUUGGGACUGAGACACGGCCCAAACUCCUACGGGAGGCAGCAGUAGGGAAUCUUCCACAAUGGACGCAAGUCUGAUGGAGCAACGCCGCGUGAGUGAAGAAGGGUUUCGGCUCGUAAAGCUCUGUUGUUGGUGAAGAAGGACAGGGGGUAGUAACUGACCUUUGUUUGACGGUAAUCAAUUAGAAAGUCACGGCUAACUACGUGCCAGCAGCCGCGGUAAAU